UGUUGAUGAAAUCUUAUGUUUCUUGCUGUUUUUGGAAUUGCAGGGAUAAACUGAGUUUCUGUCAUGUGAGGUUUAUAAUCCGUGAGUGAAUUGGACAGAGUUUGUGGAGGAGGUGGAUUUGGUCCUCUUCCCUCAAGAAUUCCGAUGCCAGUGUCGUCGGGGGUUCACUGGGCCUCAUUGUGAGAUCAACAUAGACGAGUGCAGCUCCAGCCCCUGUCUGUACAUCUUCUGUUACUACGAGUUACAACUGCCUCUGUCUGCCAGGCUGGGAGGGGGAGUUCUGUCAAAGGGAGUCCGACAAAUGUUCAUCAAACCCCUGUAAAAACAAUGCCACUAGUACAGACAUGCUCAACAGUUACAGGUGUACGUACCCUUGUGACUGGACAGGCCUGGAUUGUGGAGAGGAUAUAAAGGAAUGUGCUGCCUCUCCUUUCUGGAACGGGGCACAUGGUGUGGAGUCUGACAUCCCAGGGGAGUUCUCCUGCACCUGCCCGCCGUUCUUCACCGGUCCCCUUUGCGGACAGCCCUACGACACUUGCGACGUGCAGUGUAACCCCAGCCUGCACAACUCUGCCUGC